rnacentral:rRNA from 1 species
GAGUAAAGAUUUCGGUCGCUUUGGGAGGAGCUCGCUUACUAUCAGCUUGUUGGUAGGGUAAUGGCCUACCAAGGCUAUGACGGUUAGGGGGUGUGAGAGCAUGACCCCCAGCAUUGGCACUGAAACACUGGCCAAACACCUACGGGUGGCUGCAGUCGAGAAUCUUCCACAAUGGGGGAAACCCUGAUGGAGCGAUGCUGCGUGCGGGAUGAAGGCCUUCGGGUUGUAAACCGCUUUUGUAGGGGACGAAAUUUUUGACGGUACCCUUUCGAAUAAGAGGUUGCUAACUCUGUGCCAGCAGCAGCGGUAAUACAGAGACCUCAAGCGUUAUCCGGAUUUACUGGGCGUAAAGCGUCUGUAGGGGGUUUAUUAAGUUCCAAGUAAAAUUUCAAGGCUCAACUUUGAAUUCGCUUGGAAAACUAAUAAACUGGAGUCUAGCAGAGGUGCAUGGAACUUGUGGUGUAGGAGUGAAAUCCGUUGAUAUCACAAGGAACACCAAAGGCGAAGGCAUUGCACUGGGCUAGCACUGACCCUGAGAGACGAAAGCGUGGGGAGCAAAACGGAUUAGAUACCCGUGUAGUCCACGCCCUAAACGAUGAAUGCUAAAUGUUCGGGGAUUCGACCCCCUGGGUGUUACAGCUAACGCGUUAAGCAUUCCGCCUGGGAAGUACGGCCGCAAGGCUAAAACUCAAAGGAAUAGACGGGGAUCCGCACAAGCGGUGGAGCGUCUGGUUUAAUUCGACAGUAAGCGUGGUACCUCACCAGGGUUUGACAUCCCUUGACAGCCUUGGAAACAAGGUUUCCUUCGGGCAAGGUGACAGGUGCUGCAUGGUCGUCGUCAGUUCGUGCCGUGAGGUGUUCCGUUAAGUCGGGAAACGAACGAAACCCCUAUUGCAUGUUACAAUUUCUCAUGCAAGACUGCCCGGAUAUACUGGGGGGAAGGUGGGGAUGACGUCAGAUCUGCAUGGUCCUUAUACCCUGGGCGACACAGGCGCUACAAUGGCAGAGACAAAGGGUUGCAAAACCGCAAGGUGAAGCUAAUCCCAAAAACUUUGUCUAAGUUCGGAUUGAAGGCUGCAAUUCGCCUUCAUGAAGCUGGAAUCGCUAGUAAUCGUGAAUCAGCCACGUCACGGUGAAUAUGUUCCCGGAUCUUGUACUCACCGCCCGUCACACCAAGAGAGUUGGUAGCUCCCGAAG